GGCGCAUUAGUAAAAAUAUUACAUGGUCUUGUCAAGACCAAAUCACAGACAAAACCUCUGUAUGCUCCU
rnacentral:tRNA from 1 species